CUGGGGUGGGAGGAGGCUGAGGGACACAGUGAGUGCUCAGCUGGAGGGGCUUCCUGCUCAUUCACCAGUCACCCACCUGGGUGGGAACACUGGGAUGCCUCUGUCCUAAGGGUCCCUUAUCGUGUCACUAAUUGCUUUUAUUUAUUCCCUUCAGUUUCCACCAGAGCUGAGGACUGAACUCAGGGCAUUGGGCAUGGUAAACAAGAGCUUUGUCACCGUCCCCUGAGAGAGCGGUCUCACCCCACCACUGGCUUCAGGUUUCUUGGUCUUAGGGCUAUCAGCACCACACAGGGAACCCCUGAGGUGCCACAAAACUGGGCAUAUUCCCUUUUAUGAUGGAGAAUCCCAGGUUGGCCCUGCAUCUUCCCUAUGUUCUCAAAGCUCUGGGAAGGAGGCUUUUCUACCAACAGGAAGGGGACACCUUGGAUCUGGAGGGUAGAAUUGGAUAUGGGAUCUGAGCUAGGCUGGAGACAUGUCUCCAUCCCAUAUCCAUGUGUCUCAGAGGGAACUUCAGGCCUGGGUGUGCAAGGGCAGGUGACCUGGGUCCUAGGAAGAGGUUUGGCAAUGGGAGGCAGUGACCCUGGGCUCUGCUGCUCUUGGGGAAAGAGUUCGGGGAGAACUUUUCUCUCCAUUUGUUGUGCAGCUGUGGCUCAGGCCUGCCCAUGUCCUCUGUGGGUGGCCUCUGUCCUCUGUCCUCUUGUGGUCACCCUGCUUUUCCCCAUGAGUGAUGGAGGUAGGAGGGGACUACAAGGGACCCAUGGCCAAGCAGGGUUCUCCCAGGAACAGAGGCUCAGGGCUCCCCACAUGGGACUCUCCAGGCUCCAUGGUGAUGGGACACAGGGUCUCCUCCCCGAUCAGGAUGUGCACUACAGCCUGUCUUGGUCAGGGACAGCAGGCAUGUGAGGUGGAGCCCACAGGGCCAUUGGUGCCCAGGUGAAAAUCAGGCGACAUCUCCACCUCCACCUCCAGCCAAGGCCACACUCCUGUCUCAAAGAAUCCCAAGGCUGAAUUUGACUGAAAGGCCCAUUGUUGCCCCUGAAAGUCAUGAGGAGACCCAUGGCCAUUGUCAGGGACUGUAGCAGGGAUGCUGCCUAGGGUCCAAAUGGUGACAUUUGGCCCUGACACUGGGCUCAGGUGGCUCUGACCUACAGGCUAUAGGAGAGGUCCUGUUCACCUUGGGUCCCCAGGGUGCCUGACACCCAGUGCAGGGUGAGUCUAGGGAGAGGACGGGGUUGUCCUGAGGACUCCUGCUCAGAGUUGGGAGAACUUUGCAAACAAGGAUGGGCAGCCU
rnacentral:lncRNA from 1 species